CCAGUACCAAAUGCUUCUGAGUGAAAGAAAGGAGCCUCUUCUCUGCCAGUGGAGGGAAGUUCUGGGCUGUCCCUCUGGCGCUGUGGCCUCUCGAUCCCCAGCCAGACACUGCUGCAGGAGAAUGGAAACAGGAAGAAGAAAGGCAACUCAGCUGAAGAAAAGAAACAAGGAAGAGGCACAGGAGCUGGGAGAGGGUCCUGGUCCCGGGGAACUUUCGUGGGCUUCAUAAGCCUCGGUUUCUUCAUCUGCGACUACAAGGCAACAUUCUCUUGCAAAUCUUCACCAGGAGGAGAUGAGAUAUUAAAU
rnacentral:lncRNA from 1 species